rnacentral:rRNA from 1 species
AUUGAACGCUGGCGGCAGGCCUAACACAUGCAAGUCGAGCGAGCGGCGGACGGGUGUGUAAUGUAUGGGGACUGCCCGAUAGAGGGGGAUAACUACUGGAAACGGUGGCUAAUACCGCAUACUAUCGGAUCAGCCAUAUGGGAUUAGCUAGUAGGUAGGGUAAUGGCUUACCUAUGCGACGAUCCCUAGCUGGUCUGAGAGGAUGAUCAGCCACACUCGGACUGAGACACGGCCCAGACUCCUACGGAGGCAGCAGUGGGGAAUAUUGCACAAUGGGCGCAAGCCUGAUGCAGCCAUGCCGCGUGUAUGAAGAAGGCCCUAGGGUUGUAAAGUACUUUCAGUCGGGAGGCGUUACCGACAGAAGAAGCACCGGCUAACUCCGUGCCAGCAGCCGCGGUAAUUC